CUUUUAGCAGACAACAAACAAAAGCCGGCACAGCUCCUUUUUCCCAGCACGUGACCUCCAUUUUGCCUCUCCUUCUCUCUCUGCCAAAAUGUCCACUCGCUCCCGCAGACCCUCUGCAAUCUCGCCGUUCCGCACGCGAAACUCGCCGGCUCAGCCGCCACCGGCGACGACGAGACGGCCGGUGACUCCUUCCUCUACGACGUCGUCUAAGCCGACUUCUAGGCUAUCGGCUUCUCCGGCCACCUCAUCCAGUCCAGGCCCAAGCUCUCAUGCCUUGGUUGUUGACCGGCCAGAGGCCGCGCCAACCAAGCCAAAGGAGAAUGUCACUGUCACCGUCAGGUUUCGUCCUCUCAGAGGCUGCUGCAGCUGACGGUGGGGGAGCUUUGGUUUUAACUUUUGUUGAGCAGUCCACGAGAGAUCAGUAAAGGAGACGAGGUAGCAUGGUAUGCGGAUGGGGAUUCGACCGUGAGAAACGAGUACAAUCCUUCUAUUGCUUAUGGUUUUGAUAAGGUAUUUGGUCCAGCAACGACAACGCGCCGUGUUUACGAUGUUGCUGCUCAACAUGUUGUCAGUGGCGCAAUGCAAGGGAUAAAUGGUUUGGUCCACUGGAAUGGUUUGUCUCCAGUAAAUGCUCGUUGGGACUUGGAAGUUGGUUUUUGAUAUGUUAACUUUAUGCGCUUGAGGACAAGUGCUAUUUGGAGAAGGGGAGUGAUAUUAUGACACAGAGUGAUCAUGACAUCCAAUUGUUAGGGAAGAAGAAAGAAGAAUAAAGGAAGCUAAGUGUUAGUUUGACAGAAUGUCUAAGCGUGCAAAUGUUUGUUAAUGGUGUGUUAGAAUAAUUUACUGCCAUAUUAGUUAUAUUAGAUUUAAUGUGUUUGUUGUCUUUUUGCCAGCUGCUGAGCUGGCAGAUUAUAUGAUUUGGAUGUGUCUGUAACUGCUGUCUAGGAUAAGGCAGUUACUAUAAGAUAGUUAUUCAGUCUAUGCUAAGUAUAAUUCUGUUUUGGAGUAGUGAAAGGAAUUAGAGAACGAUUUAUAAAAAUAUUUCUUGAUUACUUUAAACUCUAGGAGAUCUGUGGUUUUCUCUUAAGGAGCUGAUACCAUUAACUACCCCAUAACAAGAUACUAAGUAGGGACCAUAAUCCUAUUAAUUAGAGUAGAAUUUUUGUUUUUAAAAAUAGAGUGUUAUUUGGAAGGCAUGUUCUAGUUUUCUACUUCCUUUGCAAACUAGACAAUGGCAUAUUUCCUAAAGAUUUGUGUGUCGUAGCCCACAAAGAUGCCAAACAACAAAUAAGAAUAGAGCAUUUUGCGUGCUUAUUGAAAAUUUUUAUUGAGCAAAGAGAUUACUGUACAAUGAAGGUUUAACUCUUCAGCUCCUUGGAAAAGAAACUUUAAUGGUAGAAGAAAUAAUGCAUGUAACCCUAGGUAUGAAGUUGAAACCAUAACCUCCGAGCUACCUUGCAACAUAAGAACAAAUCAGGCUGGAAAACAACGUAAAAGCAAAUGGUUAUUUGCCUCCGAACUCUGUUAAUAAAUCAAACAAAUAUCGGGAGUGAGAACGCGAUUUCGUCUUCACAUUUGCAACCAUCCUUUUUACCAAACUUAUCUUGUACUGAAACUCAGAAAGAAGGCUUUAAACUUUAAGGGGACUUAUAACUUUGCAAAAGGAUUAUUGAAAAUCAAAAUUUAAGCUGAGGAUUCUUGUCGAAAAAUUAAGAGAUCAUUUGAAAGUAAAGUAACUAGAAGAAUCUAUGAUCUGGAGACAAUUAUCAGAUCCACUCACAAGAAUGGAUUGAAAAACUUUAUUGUUAACUCAUGUUUGUUUUACUUUUCUUUCUUUCGGAUGAAUGUCUAUCAUAUUUGUUUUACAUGGGAGGUUGCUGUUAUUAUAUAGAUGAGUUAGGUUGUACUGUUCAUGCGGGACGAACAAGAUAGUGGAAAAUCCAAAGCAAAUUAGAUCGUUCUUAUUUUUUUUUGAAUGAACAGUUCGUUUUUAUUUUAUUUUUUUAAAAUUUUAAAAAAGGAUAAACUAAUUGUUAUUAUCAAUCUCCUAUAAAGACUUUCCUAAGAUCUUAAAAGUUACAUGUGUGUCAAAGUCAAACACACUUUGGACAGGAAAAAAGGGCAUCAAAUGCACUGUUGAAAUAUAAUGAAAUCAUGAAUUCCUAAUCCCUAACAGAACACUGAUAAACUGUUAUAAUACUUUUAAUUGCCUAAUAGUGGAUAGUAUCGAUAAAAUAAGAUUAUCUAAAUAUAUAAUUAUUCUUACAAUAUAUAACACUGGAGACACCCCUUUUUUGAGAUGGGAGAGCUAGAUGCUACAAUGAGGGACACCCAUUUUUAUCAGAAAAUUGUUUGAUUAUCAUUUCUUAGUUUCUCUACUUCUGAGGAUGGGAGAUCUAGAUUCCUGGCGCAUGUUUUUGACUAGCCAAGCUGUCUUGCUGUAAUGCCUCUUGCUUAUAUAUUAUUCUUGAAAUUUAUGGUCAUGUGCUACCAGUUUCCUAUUUGAGUUACAUACUGAUACUUUGCGUUGUAUCA